GGAGACAGUCAUGCCUCAGGCCGUCUCGUGUAACUGGAGAGGUCGAGGGAGCCCCAAGCAGAGGGUCCUCGGAGUUGGGGGCCUUUGGGGCGGCACCGCCCACACCGGGGAGUGAGGCCAGCGGAUUGCCCGCGCUGUGGUGGCGCUCCCGAAUCCGGGCCUCGGCGGGUCCGUCACCCGCCUCCUGUGCCGGCGACAAGAGCACGCGUAGCCACCUACAUCUCACUCCCCUCUCUCCCAAAGAGACCAAACCAAGUGCAAAACGAGGAGCACUGACACAGCUGGGGCCCACACACCCGUUUUUGUUUUUUCCAGCGGGGGCCCACACACUAGAGUUUUUGUUUGUUUUUGACGGAGUCUCCCUUUAGGGAGGAGUUGGAGAGUGCGGUUUCCGUUACCUGUGGUUCCGAAGCCCCCCGCUCGCUUCCUGAAAGGCAUCGUGUUUCUUGCUUACGGCGUGACCCUUGUGGCAGCAGGCGCAGGGACAUUUGCAGUUGGGCGGGGGAGGGUUUACUUGUGCUAGUGUUGGACCGGUAUUGUUGAUAGGAGAGAUCUGGGGAGAAUAUUAAGCCGUCGCUCUUAACCCUAAUAGUGUUUGUGACGAUUUUACCCGUUGAUUUUUCUCAGCUAGCUCAGGAUCGUUCUUUGUGGGGAACUGAAUGAACUGCAGGCUGUUUAGCGUCCCUGGCCCCACGCGUUCCCAAAGUCGGAGUGAGAACUAGGACAGGGGAGGAUGGAGUGCAUGGCCCCUGUCCCCACUGUUAGUAGCACCAACUGCUAACUGCCUCCCGAAAGGUUGGCGCCAUCGUGUUUCAUGGGAGCCUUUCAGAACGGUCUAUCUACUCACCUUGGACAUCCUACCAAAAUGAUUUCUUCAAAGCCCAGAUUUUGCAUACCCUAUGGCCUCAAGACUCUACUCGAAGGAAUUAGCAUCGCCAUUAUCAAAAGCAACCCAUCAAACAUCGUCCAGUUUGCAGCAGUUUAUUUUGAAGAACUUACUAUGUAUAGAGAAGUGAAUACUUCUCUGGAUAUAAAGGAUCUGGUUAAACAGUUUCAUCAGAUUAAAGUACAGAAGUGGUCAGAAGGAUCAAUACGACCGAAGAAAGCAGAAUGUUUAAAAGAACCAGAAAAAUCAUCUGUAGAAUCUAAAGUACCUACACAUAUGGAAAAAUCUACAGACACAGAGGAGGACAAUGUAACAGGAACAGGAUAUAGUGACAAAACCACCCAGUUUCCAUCAACUUAUGCUGAGCUAGGUGCUGAGCAAACGGAAGCAGUUCAUGAUUCUUCUCCCAAAGCAGCUACCCCUAAGACUACUACCCCACCCUUCUCACCACCUCCAACAGCUGUCUCACCAGAGUUUGCCUAUGUCCCAGCUGACCCAGCUCAGUUUGCUGCUCAGAUGUUAGGUAAAGUUUCAUCUAUUCAUUCUGAUCAAUCUGAUGUUUUAAUGGUAGAUGUGGCAACCAGUAUGCCUGUUGUUACUGAGGAGGUGCCGAGCUCAGAGGCUGCUGAAGAUGUCAUGGUGGCUGCUCCUCCUGUGUAUUCUGGAAAGGUACUAGAAGUGCAGGUUGUGAGCCAAACAUCUGUCCAUGUAUAUUUGGGUUCUCAACCUAAAGAAAAUGAGGCUGAACUAUCAACGGCUUCCUCAGUCCCCUUGCAGGAUGAACAAGAACCUCCUGCUUAUGAUCUAGCUCCUGAGGUCCCUUUGCAGGCUGAUACUGAGGUUAUGUCAACUGUUCAUAUAUCAUCUAUCUAUAAUGAUGUGCCUGUGACUGAAGGAGUUGUUGAUGUCGAUUAACUGCCAGAACAAAUAGUUAUCCCUUUCUCUGAUCAAGUUGCUUGUCUUAAAGAAAAUGAGCAGUCACCACUAGUUAGUCCCAAACCUGUAGUAGAAAAGACAACCUCUGGUAUGUCUAAAAAAUCUAUAGAAUCUGUAAAACUUGAACAGUUGGAGGAGAAUGAAAAAUAUCCCUCAGUAUAUAUGGAGGCAGAAGCAACAGCUCUGCUCUCAGACACAUCUUUGAAAGGUCAGCCUGAGGUACCUGCAGAACCCCUGGAUGCAGAGGGCACUAUCAAAAUAGGCUCUGAAAAAUCUCUGCACUUUGAAGUGGCGAUCACUUCAAUAGUCUCUGACAAUACUGGGCAGGAGGAGUCCGGGGAAAACACUGCACCCCAGGAUAUGGAAGGCAAACCUGUGCUCUCUGGGGAAGCUGCAGAAGCAGUGCACUCAGGUACAUCUGUAAAAUCAUCUAGUGGCCCCUUCCCUUCUGCUCCAGAAGGUCUCACUGCACCAGAAAUCGAACCAGAAGGGGAAGCAACAGCUGAAUAAGGUUUGAUGAAGCCAGAUCCAGCAAUGAUGCUGUUUGAAGGGUCAUCAUUCAGGGAGGAGUCUGCCACCAAGUGUAAUAUAUCAAUAAACUUCAUGCAAGCAUACAA